ACGAAGUCCUUCUCCCGGCACCGCAGUCAGUUCGUCAAGUACUAUGUCAAUGCAGAUGGAGGAUUUAAUGCUGAUGUUACCUAUGAGGGAGAGGCAGUCAUCAGUCGCUAGGUGCACCUCACGUACUGGGAACUAUUCCCGUGCUAAGUCCCUCACGCUCCUUUCCACACCAGGCAAAACACUGACUUCGGACAAGUUUUUUUUUACUUAUAUAUUCUAAUCUUUUUCAUACAUGUCUUCCAGAUAAAAGUCCAAAAGCUGAAAAAAAUAUAAUUAUUUUGAGCAUUUUUUAGAUUUUUCCUUCCGAACCCCCACUUUGCAAUUCUAAACAAUUCAACAUAGAUCUGCUAUUUUUCUCCUGUAAAACAAACUACGGACUCUUUCAUUAUCUCCUCGACGCGAACACCAUCAGAUCAACCAUUUGUGGAUCCCAGGGAAUGUACCUAUUGUGAUAUUGUUUAUUUUUCACCUGAUAACUUGAGGGAGAGCUGUCGAGACAGAGAGCGGAGGUAAAUCCUCUUUCCUUGAAUGACUCUUUAGGUCUGUUUUCUGUAGCAGUAAAGUUAUACGUGAC